rnacentral:rRNA from 1 species
CAGUAGCCGCGGUAAUACGGAGGAUCCAAGCGUUAUUUGGAAUCAUUGGGUUUAAAGGGUCCGUAGGCGGUCUUGUAAGUCAGUGGUGAAAGCCCAUCGCUCAACGGUGGAACGGCCAUUGAUACUGCAGGACUUGAAUUAUUGGGAAGUAACUAGAAUAUGUAGUGUAGCGGUGAAAUGCUUAGAGAUUACAUGGAAUACCAAUUGCGAAGGCAGGUUACUACCAAUUGAUUGACGCUGAUGGACGAAAGCGUGGGUAGCGAACAGGAUUAGAUACCCCCGUAGUCCCUGUCUCUUAUAC